rnacentral:lncRNA from 1 species
AGCAAUAGUAGCAACCCAAUAAGAAGGACAGCAGCGCCCAGCGCUGCAAAUGAUGUUGGAUGUUAUCUCCGUUCAUGAUCGAGCAAGCGAGUAUGUUGCACCGGCUUAUGACGUUGCGUACUCGCUGACAGAGCUCCAUGAAUUGUUUGUCAAAAAUUUCAAGAGCAUACAUAAACUAUUCCACAUUAAUGAAUGCCAUCAACUACAGAGGGUAUCGCAUGCAGGUAAGCAUGGUGAACGAGGAGCACAGAUGAGAACGUAUGCGCAGUAGAACCCGAUCUCACCGGCAGCAAGGAUGAUGAGCGUUGCAGCGUAAACUGCUGCAAACGAAGUCGUGAAAUGAGACAUGGCUAAUAAAGAUGAACUGCUAAUCGGACAGCACGUAAGCGACUAUUUCGAGAAAUUCAGAAUUCUGAUAGAGACUUUGUUCAUUUGCAAAGCCGGUAGAAGGCAUAGUAAUAUACUCGGCGUCUUCGUACGACUAAUACCGAAGCGCGCGAAAAUGACUAGGGAGAAUCUCCAACAAGUGCCUUUUACGACAGAGAUUACGGAUUUGCAGUUCGAAAAUGACUAGCGAGACUCUCCCUAGGGGUGCCUGUACGACACGGAUGAAAAUGACUAGCGAGUUUCUCCCUACGGGUGCUUGUACGACAAUGAAAAUGACUAGCGGACGUAAGAAAGGCGGGGGCAUUAAUAGUUUGCUUUACGUCGCACAGACAUAGAAGGACUUUUGCACAUGCUAUACAACGAUUCGUUGGACGUGCUUCCGGUGUAUGAUGUUAAUGCCACGUUUCAAUAUUCGCUGGUAAAGUAUUUGUUACGUACAUUUCGGCUGGCUAUUAAGUGUGUGCCGUCCGUCCAAUUUGGACGCACAGCGUCCUGGCGGCGUAGAAGUUAUGUUUUGGUUUAUUUUGCGGGAUGAUGACAUUUUGCCCGGGUGCGUAUGCUUGGUGGUAUUGUCACUGGUCGCACCAGCAUAUUCAUGCAAGUGUGCUGCAGCAGACGCUUGAGUUGUUGUCGAAAGUCACAUGUCAUUUCCUGUUACAGGUAAUGCGAGAUUCACAGGUCAAAGGAGAACAUCAAGGAAAUGGACCUCCCCCUAUAAGAAGACCAGCAAGGACAAGUCAUGAACGCGGACCUAAACGGAAGCAGACUAACAUNCACGUUGAGCUACAGCAAAUAGACCAGAGGGCGUGGGAAUGANNNNNNNNNNNNNNNNNNNNNNNNNNNNNNNNNNNNNNNNNNNNNNNNNNNNNNNNNNNNNNNNNNNNNNNNNNNNNNNNNNNNNNNNNNNNNNNNNNNNNNNNNNNNNNNNNNNNNNNNNNNNNNNNNNNNNNNNNNNNNNNNNNNNNNNNNNNNNNNNNNNNNNNNNNNNNNNNNNNNNNNNNNNNNNNNNNNNNNNNNNNNNNNNNNNNNNNNNNNNNNNNNNNNNNNNNNNNNNNNNNNNNNNNCUUGCGGCCUAUGUGGCUUCGGUCUGUCUGAGCAGUGCAAUGUAGCUGUCUGAGCAACGCAAUGUAGCUGUCUGAGCAAUGCAAUGUAGCUGUUCAUACGCACAAGCUCACUCAGGCCUCAUCUAGUUCUUAUCAGUAUUUGCUUAUUGUAUCUCAUCAAGUUCUUAACAGUAUUUGCUUAUGGGCCUUCUGGUGGGGUUCCGAGGACUUUCGCCAAUUGGGGAGUCUAAUUGCUGUGGUUGCGGGUUCUGAGCCUGCCCUUGGAUUUGGUUUUGGAUUAUUUAGGUGACUUGCGUUGUCUGGUCUGGGUUGGAGUCUUGUUUGCCCUAAUCGUAUCAGGUGCAGUGCACGGCCUGCUGGCCCGCUGGCUGUACUCUUUGUGAGUCUGGAGCCCACUGUAACAACCACACUGCCUCGAGGCAUCCCUAGCCCCGGCGGUGGACUGAUAGGAACUAGCCUAGUCCGCACAAGUUCCACACAAGUGUGGGGGUGUCCGUAAGAGCUGGGGGGCCCAUGGGCGGUAAAUUGUUUUUAGGGCGGUUGCAUGGUGGACCAUCAUCAUCCACCCUCGUCCGCUUGAGCACGGAGCGCCUUAGAGCAACACGCCGGGUCUCCCAGACUUCCCAGAGGAACCUGGCUAGUGCCAGGGGUGGGGCCUCGGUCAUAAUCGUGCGCAUGUUGCACCCUUGAAACAUGAGGUCACGUUCGCCCGUGUACUAAUGUACGCCAGGCAUUCCACAAAGACAUGCAUUUCGUCUUCAACCGCCCCGCAGUCACAAAGCCUGCAGGUGCAUGCUGUGCACUCAUGGCCGUUAGGUUGGUUAAUCUCUAACUCCCAACAGCCUAACCGGAAACAUAUAAGCAUUUGAUGCAAACAUUGGGGCAUGGCGAUUUCAGGUGGUCAUUAUGGAUUUCAGCACGAACAAUGAACCCUGCCCACUCCCCCAUGCCCCUUGCGGGCAAGCAACGGAGAAUCGGGUGAGAGACCGAGCUUUCUAUUAGGGCCUGGUGCCUUAAUAGGGAGGGGUAGGGUCUGUACAGGGUUUCCGGGUUUCCUCGGUCUUCUUGAACCCUCACCCCAAGAGCCAGUCUUCUUGUGUGUUUCAGGCUCAGUGCUCAAACUCGCGUGACGGAGCCUUGACCCCCGGGGGAGGAGAGCGGAACUAGUGGACCCGCGGCUCUCAGCUGCUUAGGAGGGACAGAGGCCCCUUACACCCCUCUCCUGUCUGCGGGAGGAGUUUAGGUGGUCUUUCUGUUGGGGCUGGGCAGCAGUCCCUGGCCAGUUUCAGGCACGGUCAAAUACUUGCAACACACGCACACGCACACACAUACAUACACACACACAAGCUCACGAAGUUGAAUUGAAUUGUUACAGAGUGGGAGGCUUCUGGGCCAUUUGAACAUAUUGUCACACAAGCUCGCGAUAUGCCAGCUGAACUGAUUUCCGUGCCUCGAAUGCCCUGGUAAAAACCUUCUUGCGGACGUAACCCAGCUCAGACAAUGCACGGCUAAUAUCAGGGACGCUCCAAAGAGUGCCCAGUAAGUUUGUCAUAGCGGUGGCCAGAUCGGAGAGCAAUGCUUGGUCGUCGGCCUGCACCAGCUCCACCAGCGUCUGUGCAGCGAUCUCAUCAAACUUGCGUAGUUUGCGUGUUCCUGUUUGUCCUCUAAGCGGCAGGACAUCGCCAUUCGCCACGUAGGACUGUAUGAUAGCAUGCACAGUCCUCUCGCAAGGUCUGUGCCCGAAAGCCUCAGCUAUUUGCGCUUGCGUGUAACCCUCGUCGAAAUAGAGGUGGCAAACACGUUCGCGCACUUGUUUGCUGUAGUAGUAACGGUUCAAUACUUCUCCCAUUUUGAGAUCCGCUCUACAAACUGAGUAUGCACACGUACGUGUUCGCGUAUGUAGAAUAUUAUAAUAGAAAUUAUGCGUGUUCCUUGCGACUUGCGACUUGCAACUUGCGACUUGCGACUUCAGCAGUACGCAAGACCGCACUUCGCCUCGCAUCCCGCAAUUUGUUAUGCAACCAGCCAUAAGGGUGAGGUGGAGAGCCUUUUUCGCCGAGUACGGUGAAUGUUUGGGUGAAAUCACCUCCGUCCUUAAGGAUCUUCAGACGCAACUUCGGGACGCGUUGCCUGCGUCGCCGUCUCCGAGUUCUUCGGACACCCGGCGCAGGUCCAUCAUUAUCGAUGGAAUUUGUGAGACGCUGGACAGGAAUAUUGCCUCGUUCCUCGAGGUUGACAUGCUGCAGAAUUGCGUGUUUCAAGCGCUUCUCCAACGCCACCUGAACCCCGAAGUGUGAUUGGACGAAGUCAAGCAACUUUGUAGUGAGGGCGUGGCCAAGAAAGCCGGUGGUCCUUCCGGCUCGGCUGCCCCUCCUUCCAAGUCUGCCCGAACCUCAGAGGUAAAUUAACGUAUCCUUGCACCACCUCGUUUUAGUGGGAAGAAGGAUUCACACAUUACUAAUACAAAGACAUGGUUACAAGAAGUGAACUGAGGACUGAUGCUACACGUCGCGUUGCUUAGCUUGCAACGAGACGCGCCCACGAUGAAAGCUUCAGCUACGCUCACAAUACAUUAUACUGAUUCACUAUUCUCUCCAGUCCUACCACAUUAUAUUUCACCGACGUACUUCGGCACCUUCCACAACACCAUACGUGCUUUGGAAACGCGGGCAGCUGCUUCACAAGGGCCCCCAUAUUACGCGCUUCUUAUGCAAUAUUUUGACUUGUCGCAAAUGGACCCGCUUGAGCACUUUAUGUUCUGGCUUACGGGCAAGGCUCAGGAGUGGACGGCAGAUCUUUUCCUUAAGCACAAGUCCGGCACGCAACCACUUACCCGCGAUUUGUUGCGUGAUAAAUUCCUGUUGCAAUAUGGUGAUGUGAAGCACGACACCGCGAUGGCCGCACGCAAUCGUUUGCAUGCGCACGAAUACGAUAUGAAAAUCAAUGAGUCCGUACCAGAGUAUACGCAGCACUUUUACGAUAUUGUUCGCGAAGCGAAUGAUAUGAGUGUUGCGGAUCAAAUCUCUUGGUAUAUAAAGGCAGGGUAAGUGGUUAUGGGCCCCCGCCUGCUACUUCCGUAUUAUUUUUAAAGGCAGGGUAAGUGGUUAUGGGCCCCCGCCUGCUACUUCCGUAUUAUUUUUUAAUAGUUUGCUUUACGUCGCACAGACAUAGAAGGACUUUUGCACAUGCUAUACAACGAUUCGUUGGACGUGCUUCCGGUGUAUGAUGUUAAUGCCACGUUUCAAUAUUCGCUGGUAAAGUAUUUGUUACGUACAUUUCGGCUGGCUAUUAAGUGUGUGCCGUCCGUCCAAUUUGGACGCACAGCGUCCUGGCGGCGUAGAAGUUAUGUUUUGGUUUAUUUUGCGGGAUGAUGACAUUUUGCCCGGGUGCGUAUGCUUGGUGGUAUUGUCACUGGUCGCACCAGCAUAUUCAUGCAAGUGUGCUGCAGCAGACGCUUGAGUUGUUGUCGAAAGUCACAUGUCAUUUCCUGUUACAGGUAAUGCGAGAUUCACAGGUCAAAGGAGAACAUCAAGGAAAUGGACCUCCCCCUAUAAGAAGACCAGCAAGGACAAGUCAUGAACGCGGACCUAAACGGAAGCAGACUAACAUCAACGUUGAGCUACAGCAAAUAGACCAGAGGGCGUGGGAAUGAAGACGAAGCCAUUGUGUGGCGACAUAACACGUGCAGGCUGUCUGGCGAACAGACCAUGCGAAGAACAACAACAAAAACUGAUCCAUUUCGUCUAUGCAAGACAUAACGGCCAUUAGAACAGGGACCAGUGUGAAGCUUUGACUUGUAGCUAAACAGUUCCACAAGCGCAACCUACCGCAACUAGCCCACCUUCGUCCGAGCAAAUAAUUAAAUUCACGCGUAGUUCAUAGGCACAUAAUUCAGUGUAACUUGCGAUUAGCAUUGCAGAGGUGUAGCAGCCUGACGCCGUCAUUUACCAUGCAACAACGUUUAUAAUAUGACGAGAUGGCUCUGUUAGAAUGAAGACACACCUGGAGCACAAAGCAGGAUUGUCUUUUGCAUUGUAGGUUGGCCAAUCCUGCAUUGCAAUAGGCAAUCCUGCACCACUGCAGUCAAGAAUGCAUGCCUGCUGAGCUGGCCAGACUCGCAGUGCAUUCAUGUCUUGACUGCUGUGCAUGCAUGUGCAGGUAUGCACCAUAACUUCACGAAGUCCUCGUAUGUGAAAUGCACAUCAUGCACCAGUGAGUGAAUAUUGCGGUAUCCAUACUUGGAUGCGUUAAAAUCAACACGUUGCAGUGUAGUUAUGUCGACUAUGAAUUUAGUAAUCAUCACAGACUCCCAAACCAU